ensembl:lncRNA ERICH3-AS1 ERICH3 antisense RNA 1
UGUUUCCCGGACUUCUCAGAUAAACCCUCUGCAAUCUCUUGGGUUCCUUUCUCCGUUCCUUCUUUAAGAACAUUCUCAAAGCUUUCGUCUAUUGGCAUCGGCUUGGUCUCCACAUCUGCUUUUGUUAUUUCUUGGUCUUCAAUUUCAAUUUCUAAGGAUUCCUCAAUUGGAAGUGACACCUCCCCAUCCUGACUUGAUGAUUUCUUCAUGGAGCAGUGGAAAGAACGUAGUCCAGAAAUUAGAAGGUUUUGGUCCAUGGCACAGCUGAGCACUGACAACACAUCCUUCCCUGGGCUUAUUCCAUCUGAGAGGGAGAUGCACAUGUAUGAUUUCUUCUACGGUCAUUCUGAAGAUCGGUGUCAUCAAUAAUUUGGGCUUGGGACUAUCCAGUUUCACAGGGGCAUUCAGUUGAUUGAAAAUCCAAUAUCAAUAUUGUUUAUAGUAUCAAAACAAUCUACCGAUCAAAGUCUCUAAAAUUACUACAAAAACCUAUUUGAUAUCCUAUGGCAUUGCCCAAUUUAAAUUAUUUAUAAAAUAUGCAGUAAAUGUGUAUGCCAGAAAAUCAAUGUCCUAGGCAUUGACUCCUAA